GACGAACGCUGGCGGCGUGCUUAACACAUGCAAGUCGAGCGGUAAGGCCCUUUCGGGGGUACACGAGCGGCGAACGGGUGAGUAACACGUGGGUGACCUGCCCUCAGCUCUGGGAUAAGCCUGGGAAACUGGGUCUAAUACCGGAUAUGACUCCAUGACGCAUGUUGUGGGGUGGAAAGCCUUGUGCGGCUGAGGAUGGGCCCGCGGCCUAUCAGCUUGUUGGUGGGGUGAUGGCCUACCAAGGCGACGACGGGUAGCCGGCCUGA
rnacentral:rRNA from 1 species